AAACGGCUCAGCUUUUAUGUUUUAGUUUAAAUUAAACAAAACAAAAAAAAAAGGGAAGAUCAUUCUGUUUCUUUUUUCUAAAAGAAAAGCAGUGGCUCUGGUUUUUUUAACCCAUUAUUUGCGCCGCCGUUCAACCGAGCGCCAAGGCCCCGAUUGUGACGGAGGUGGCACCGGCUCGACGACUUCGGCGAUUAGGUUUGGUGACCGUGGAGUGCGCGCGACGAGCGCGGAGUGACAAGUCGCGGCUUGUGGGCGCUGUUGCGACGUGCGCGUGGGAGCUGCUGCGCCUAGGGUUCCUGCUGGUGCUUUGGCUAGCAAGCUUGGUUUAGUAACUUGGGCCAUUGAGUUUCAAUUAUUGGGUUUUAGUUUACAUUUGUUUUUUUAUUUGUAUUUGGGCUGGGUUUAGUAGGUUGGGUCUAGUAUUUGGGCCUAUUUAUUUGCUUGGGCCUUGGCAUUAUUGGGCUUGUACAAACUUGACUUUAAUUUUUAUUGAAAUUUUAUAUUUUAAAAUUAAAGGGAAAA